rnacentral:misc_RNA from 1 species
AAGUCGUAACAAGGUUUCCGUAGGUGAACCUGCGGAAGGAUCAUUACCAAUUUUAAAAUCUUCCAACCCAUGUGCACUAUGAUGAUUGUCUUGGUUUUUGGGGUGGAGCUGUUACUACGGUCGUCACCCCAACCAAUUUUCUAAACUACUUUUAUUAUUGUCUUGGCAUCAAAAUUGUCUAUAAUAAUUAUUAUGACAACUUUUAACGGUGGAUCUCUUGGCUCGUGGA